rnacentral:rRNA from 1 species
UGGGGAAUAUUGCACAAUGGGCGCAAGCCUGAUGCAGCCAUGCCGCGUGUGUGAAGAAGGCCUUCGGGUUGUAAAGCACUUUCAGCGAGGAGGAAGGUGGUGAACUUAAUACGUUCAUCAAUUGACGUUACUCGCAGAAGAAGCACCGGCUAACUCCGUGCCAGCAGCCGCGGUAAUACGGAGGGUGCAAGCGUUAAUCGGAAUUACUGGGCGUAAAGCGCACGCAGGCGGUUUGUUAAGUCAGAUGUGAAAUCCCCGGGCUCAACCUGGGAACUGCAUUUGAAACUGGCAAGCUAGAGUCUCGUAGAGGGGGGUAGAAUUCCAGGUGUAGCGGUGAAAUGCGUAGAGAUCUGGAGGAAUACCGGUGGCGAAGGCGGCCCCCUGGACGAAGACUGACGCUCAGGUGCGAAAGCGUGGGGAGCAAACAGGAUUAGAUACCCCUGGUAGUCCACGCUGUAAAACGAUGUCGAUUUUGGAGGUUGUGCCCUUGAGGCGUGGCUUCCAGAGCUAACGCGUUAAAUCGACCGCCUGGGGAGUACGGCCGCAAGGUUAAAACUCAAAGGAAUUG